AGAGUUUGAUCCUGGCUCAGGACUAACGCUGGCGGCGUGCUUAACACAUGCAAGUCGAACGGUCUGACAACCGGCUUCGGUUGGUUGCCAGAUAGUGGCGGACGGGUGAGUAACGCGUGGAUAACCUGCCCAUCAGACAGGGAUAACACCGGGAAACUGGUGCUAAUACCGGAUACGUACGUAAGAGGGCAUCCUUUUAUGUAGAAAGGUGAUGCAAGUCACUACUGAUGGAUGGGUCCGCGUCCCAUUAGCUAGUUGGUAGGGUAAUAGCCUACCAAGGCGACGAUGGGUAGCCGGCCUGAGAGGGUGGCCGGCCACACUGGGACUGAGAUACGGCCCAGACUCCUACGGGAGGCAGCAGUGGGGAAUCUUCCGCGAAUGGGCGAAAGCCUGACGGAGCAACGCCGCGUGAGUGAAGAAGGCUUUCGGGUCGUAAAACUCUGUCUUGGGGGAAGAAAAAAAUGACGGUACCCCAGGAGGAAGCCCCGGCUAACUACGUGCCAGCAGCCGCGGUAAAACGUAGGGGGCGAGCGUUGUCCGGAAUUACUGGGCGUAAAGGGCGUGUAGGCGGUUCAAGAAGUCAGGGGUGAAAUACCGCAGCUCAACUGCGGGGCUGCCUCUGAAACCAUUGAGCUUGAGGGCAGGAGAGGGGAGUGGAGUUCCCGGUGUAGCGGUGAAAUGCGUAGAUAUCGGGANGGAACACCAGUGGCGAAGGCGGCUCUCUGGCCUGACCCUGACGCUGAGGCGCGAAAGCGUGGGGAGCAAACAGGAUUAGAUACCCUGGUAGUCCACGCCGUAAACGAUGGGUGCUAGGUGUUGGGGGUAUCGACCCCCUCAGUGCCGCAGUUAACACAAUAAGCACCCCGCCUGGGGAGUACGGCCGCAAGGUUGAAACUCAAAGGAAUUGACGGGGGCCCGCACAAGCGGUGGAGCAUGUGGUUUAAUUCGACGCAACGCGAAGAACCUUACCAGGGCUUGACAUCCCCUGACGACUUAUGAAAGUAAGUUUUCUGCCUUCGGGUAGACAGGGAAGACAGGUGGUGCAUGGUUGUCGUCAGCUCCUGUCGUGAGAUGUUGGGUUAAGUCCCGCAACGAGCGCAACCCUUACGGUUAGUUGCCAGCGGUUAAAGCCGGGCACUCUAGCUGAACUGCCGUUGACAAAACGGAGGAAGGUGGGGAUGACGUCAAAUCAUCAUGCCCUUUAUGUCCUGGGCUACACACGUGCUACAAUGGCCUGUACAGAGGGAAGCGAAGGGGCGACCUGAAGCGAAUCCCAAAAAGCAGGUCUCAGUUCGGAUUGCAGGCUGCAACUCGCCUGCAUGAAGUCGGAAUCGCUAGUAACACAGGUCAGCAUACUGUGGUGAAUACGUUCCCGGGCCUUGUACACACCGCCCGUCACACCACGAAAGCCGGCAACACCCGAAGCCGGUGGCCUAACCCGCAAGGGAGGGAGCCGUCGAAGGUGGGGUUGGUAAUUGGGGUGAAGUCGUAACAAGGUAACC
rnacentral:rRNA from 1 species